rnacentral:rRNA from 1 species
CAGUCGCCGCGGGAAUACGAAGGGGGCUAGCGUUGUUCGGAAUUACUGGGCGUAAAGCGCGUGUAGGCGGGUCCUUAAGUCAGGGGUGAAAUGCCAAGGCUCAACCUUGGAACUGCCUUUGAUACUGGGGAUCUUGAGUCCGGGAGAGGUGAGUGGAACUGCGAGUAUAGAGGUGAAAUUCGUAGAUAUUCGCAAGAACACCAGUGGCGAAGGCGGCUCACUGGCCCGGAACUGACGCUGAGACGCGAAAGCGUGGGGAGCAAACAGGAUUAGAUACCCGUGUAGUCCCUGUCUCUUAUAC